CAACAGGGAUUGCCUCAGUAACGGCGAGUGAAGCGGCAAGAGCUCAAAUUUUAAAUCUGCCUUUUAGGCCGAGUUGUAAUUUGUAGAGGAACGUUCGGUGACGUCCAGGUCUGAGUCUUCUGGAAGGAAGCGCCGAUGAGGGUGAGAGCCCCGUACGACCGACGACUUAGCCAUGUGAACGCCCUUCGAAGAGUCGAGUUGUUUGGGAAUGCAGCUCAAAGCGGGUGGUAAAUUCCAUCUAAAGCUAAAUAUUGGCCAGAGACCGAUAGCGCACAAGUAGAGUGAUCGAAAGAUGAAAAGCACUUUGGAAAGAGAGUGAAAAAGUACGUGAAAUUGUUGAAAGGGAAGCGCUUGCGACCAGACUUGAUCGUUCAGUUCAAGGGUUCUUUUGGACCCGGUACUUCUGUCUGAUCAGGCCAACAUCAGUUCGGACGGUUGGAUAAAAGCUGUGGGAACGUAGCUCUUCGGAGUGUUAUAGCCCUUUGCAUAAUACAGCCAGACCGGACUGAGGAAUGCCUUUUGUAGGAUGUUGGCGUAAUGGUUGCCAGCGGCCCGUCUUGAAACACGGACCAAGGAGUCUAACAUCCAUGCGAGUGUUUGGGUGGAAAACCCGCACGCGAAAUGAAAGUGAACGGAGGUGGGAGCUUCGGCGCACCAUCGACCGAUCCUGAUGUCCUCGGAAGGAUUUGAGUACGAGCAUGGCUGUUGGGACCCGAAAGAUGAUGAACUAUGCGUGAAUAGGGCGAAGCCAGAGGAAACUCUGGUGGAGGCUCGCAGCGGUUCUGACGUGCAAAUCGAUCGUCAAAUUUGCGUAUA
rnacentral:rRNA from 1 species